GCUAGGUCCAGGUGUAUUGAAUGAUUGAUUGGCUUCUUUUGUUUGGAGUGUGUGUGUCUCUGUAUGGGCAGCAUGCAGUAGAAGCAGUCACUCCUUUUCCUUCUCUCCAAGCUGAGAGAUUUUGUAGAGUUGGUGUGUGCCUGACUAUAUCUUGGCUUGAGAACUCUCCUAUGUGUUUAACCAUCCUGGAAUGAAACCCCGCUAGCGAGUGAUGCUCAGGGACACACAGGUCGAUUCUGCUUUGGCUUAAUUUGGACAAACAAUAUUGUUUCUAAAAUCUGUUUGGACUCUCAUUCUGACGGCACCCAUUCAC